AAGCGGUGGAGCAUGUGGUUAAUUCGAAGCAACGCGAAGAACCUUACCAGGUCUUGACAUCCCGAUGCUAUUUCUAGAGAUAGAAAGUUACUUCGGUACAUCGGUGACAGGUGGUGCAUGGUUGUCGUCAGCUCGUGUCGUGAGAUGUUGGGUUAAGUCCCGCAACGAGCGCAACCCCUAUUGUUAGUUGCCAUCAUUCAGUUGGGCACUCUAGCGAGACUGCCGGUAAUAAACCGGAGGAAGGUGGGGAUGACGUCAAAUCAUCAUGCCCCUUAUGACCUGGGCUACACACGUGCUACAAUGGUUGGUACAACGAGUUGCGAGUCGGUGACGGCGAGCUAAUCUCUUAAAGCCAAUCUCAGUUCGGAUUGUAGGCUGCAACUCGCCUACAUGAAGUCGGAAUCGCUAGUAAUCGCGGAUCAGCACGCCGCGGUGAAUACGUUCCCGGGCCUU
rnacentral:rRNA from 1 species